rnacentral:rRNA from 1 species
GACGUAGGGUCCAAGCGUUGUCCGGAUUUAUUGGGCGUAAAGAGCUCGUAGGCGGCUUAGUAAGUCGGGUGUGAAACCUCCAGGCUCAACCUGGAGACGCCACCCGAUACUGCUGUGGCUAGAGUCCGGUAGGGGAGCGUGGAAUUCCUGGUGUAGCGGUGAAAUGCGCAGAUAUCAGGAGGAACACCAGCGGCGAAGGCGGCGCUCUGGGCCGGUACUGACGCUGAGGAGCGAAAGCGUGGGGAGCAAACAGG